AAAGCCACGGCUAACUACGUGCCAGCAGCCGCGGUAAUACGUAGGUGGCGAGCGUUAUCCGGAAUUAUUGGGCGUAAAGAGGGAGCAGGCGGCACUAAGGGUCUGUGGUGAAAGAUCGAAGCUUAACUUCGGUAAGCCAUGGAAACCGUAGAGCUAGAGUGUGUGAGAGGAUCGUGGAAUUCCAUGUGUAGCGGUGAAAUGCGUAGAUAUAUGGAGGAGCACCAGUGGCGAAGGCGACGAUCUGGCGCAUAACUGACGCUCAGUCCCGAAAGCGUGGGGAGCAAAUAGGAUUAGAUACCCUAGUAGUCCACGCCGUAA
rnacentral:rRNA from 1 species